rnacentral:rRNA from 1 species
CCUACGGGUGGCUGCAGUGAGGAAUAUUGGUCAAUGGGCGCGAGCCUGAACCAGCCAAGUAGCGUGAAGGAUGACUGCCCUACGGGUUGUAAACUUCUUUUAUAAAGGAAUAAAGUGAGGCACGUGUGCCUUUUUGUCUGUACUUUAUGAUUAAGGAUCGGCUAAAUCCGUGCCAGCAGCCGCGGUAAUACGGAGGAUCCGAGCGUUAUCCGGAUUGAUUGGGUUUAAAGGGAGCGUAGAUGGGUUGUUAAGUCAGUUGUGAAAGUUUGCGGCGCAACCGUAAAAGUGCAAUUGAUACUGGCAGUCUUGAGUACAGGUGAGGUAGGCGGAAUUCGUGGUGUAGCGGUGAAAUGCGUAGAUAUCACGAAGAACUCCGAUGGCGAAGGCAGCUUACUAAACUGCCACUGACAUUGAUGCUCGAAGGUGUGGGUAUCAAACAGGAUUAGAUACCCCAGUAGUC